rnacentral:rRNA from 1 species
ACUGAGUGGCGGACGGGUGAGUAACGCGUGAGUAACCUGCCCUUAGGAAAGGGAUAGCGUCUGGAAACGGACGGUAAUACCAUAUAAAGUAUAUUAACGGCAUCGUAGAUAUACCAAAGCUGAGGCGCCUAAGGAUGGACCCGCGUCUGAUUAGAUAGUUGGUGGGGUAACGGCCUACCAAGUCGACGAUCAGUAGCCGGACUGAGAGGUUGAACGGCCACAUUGGGACUGAGACACGGCCCAGACUCCUACGGAAGGCAGCAG